rnacentral:rRNA from 1 species
CCUACGGGGGGCAGCAGUAGGGAAUCUUCCACAAUGGGCGAAAGCCUGAUGGAGCAACGCCGCGUGGGUGAAGAAGGUCUUCGGAUCGUAAAACUCUGUUGUUAGAGAAGAAAGUGCGUGAGAGUAACUGUUCACGUUUCGACGGUAUCUAACCAGAAAGCCACGGCUAACUACGUGCCAGCAGCCGAGGGAAUAAGUAGGUGGCAAGCGUUAUCCGGAUUUAUUGGGCGUAAAGGGAAAUCAGGCGGUCUUGUAAGUCUGAUGUGAAAGCCUUCGGCUUAACCGGAGUAGGGCAUUGGAAACUGGGAGACUUGAGUGCAGAAGAGGAGAGUGGAACUCCAGGUGUAGCGGUGAAAUGCUUAGAUAUAUUGAAGAACACCAGUGGCGAAAGCGGCUCUCUGGUCUGUAACUGACGCUGAGGUUCGAAAGCGUGGGUAGCAAACAGGAUUAGAUACCCCAGUAGUC